rnacentral:misc_RNA from 1 species
CGUAGAUUAUUAAUUCUUUAAGCAAUUCCAAUUAUAGGUAAUAAUAGGGGGAGGGGUGGUAAAUCGGCUCCGGGGGAGGGGGUGAGAGAGUUCUAGCUACAAUAUUCAGAUAUCAGCUUUUUGCCUCAUUAAGGAGGUAAAACAUCUGACCGCGUCUUGACAGAGUUAUGUUCAUGCCAUACCGCAAGCGACCGGCGUAAUACAGUGGCUAGUCGACAUCGCAACAAAUCUAGCCAACAGCUAAGCUAGACGCAAAAACGAUCCCCUUGUAAUUCAAUCGAUCACCUGUUUGUUUCCUUUCAAUUAAAGAACUAUGAAAGAGUGGAUAGAACAGAUCCUACGGCACGCGCUCAAGGACGGCAGAGAGCCCGAGAAGAGAAUGAAAGGGGAAUGAGAGAAUUGCGUGACGAGAUGGAGAGAGAUCGUCGACAGGCGUUGCUUGAUGCGCAAGAAUGCACGAAAAUUGAAGGCGACGCACAGAGAAGACAACUGGCUCACCAAAGACGUGAUGGGGAGGACCAAGAAAGGAAUCAAAAGGAAGAAGAACGAUUUUGUAAGCUUAAAGUCGCGCUGAUGAAUUACGACUUACAGACCAACCCAAGAAUUAAGAAAGAAUCUUUCCGAGAUUUGGUGGUGGACGACAUCGAUGUGCUCAGCGUUGUUUUAAUAGGAAGACCAGGCACGGGGAAAACCAGCUUUAUAGGCACGUUGCAGCGAGCCAUUGGACAGCCUCAGAGUGCUUUUGGUGACGGAAAAGGAAAAGAAGACACCAUCCUUCUCGAACCAUACUACCUGCAGAAAAAUAUUCGGAUGCUGGACACCAGAGCAUUCUUUGAAUGGGACGAGAGAGCGCUGGAAGAGUGCCUGAAACUCAUGUCUGGAAGAAUUCGACCAGGAGAAGUAAUGUCUGGAUACUAUGGUGAUUGCGGAAUUAUGACAAAGGAACAGCAACAGGGAAGAGCAUAUCGGGGUCGGACACACCGGUAAAACGAGCCCCGGCGCUUUCUAAAUGCGCGCACGCCGUGAUUUUUGUCCUAAAGGCAAACGAUCCACGUCUAGCAGAGGGCUUGUUGUAUGACAAACUCCAGAAGAUCAGAGAGCAGUUUAAACAAGAUGGUUAUGCUCCUGUGACAGUUAUUACCCACCUUGACAAACUAGAAGACAAAGAGGACAAAGAUGAAGCUUUUGAACAGGCCUCCUGGGCAACUGGCAGCUCCAGCGAGAGAACCCACUUCAUUGUAAAUUAUGUAGAUAAUGCCAAGCAGUCUUUUGAGGUGGAUCGAGCCGCUCUUGAUAUUCUGGAUUCUGCUUUGAUCUCCGCUGAAAAUUUUAUCCAAAUCCGCAAGCAGCGAGAGAAAAAUCAGAUAGAAAGGGAGGCUACGGCUGGAGGUAACAGUUUUCCGAACUCAUGACUGAGGAACUUAAGGACGUUCGUGC